UACGUAGGGUGCAAGCGUUAUCCGGAAUCACUGGGCGUAAAGCGUGCGUAGGUGGCGUGUUAAGUGUGAUGUUAAAUCGUGUGGCUCAACCAUAUCGAUGUGUCGCAUACUGGCAUGCUAGAGGGAAGCAGAGGCAAGUGGAAUUUGUAGUGUAGCAGUGAAAUGCGUAGAUAUUACAAGGAACACCAAUGGCGAAGGCAGCUUGCUGGGCUUCUUCUGACACUGAGGUACGAAAGCGUGGGGAGCGAACAGG
rnacentral:rRNA from 1 species